AUCAUGUUGUACAAGUGAGUCACAUCCUCUCUAGCAAAGUCGGUGUCUUUCUCUUUAUGAUGCACUCUUUCAACUAUAUAUUUAUUAUCCGUGUAAACCUUAACCUCUUCAGCUUGCAUGUGUAUCGUGAAGGCCAACGCGUGAAUGAUCGCUUGAGCUUCUGCCUCAACAAGCUUAUUGUACCCCUUCUGCUUCUAAGUAGCUUGAGCAUCAAUCUCUUCCUCUUUGCCACAUAAAUGAGCUCUCAUGUUCCACGCUCCACGUGUGAUCAAGUUAGCACCAAUGUGAAUCACGAUUUUUCUGUCAUUCCAGCGAACGCUAUCUUGCUUCAUCAUCUUGUUCGGUUGCGUCUUCUCAGUCUACUUGAGUUUCAUCGCUGUGAUCGGAUGCGUCCUCCUGGUCUGAUUGAGUGAAAAUGAGUAGAAAGGUUGAUUCUGUUGAAGACAUCAAUGACCCAAAAGAAACUUGGCGUCUUGUUGUUCGAAUAAUGGAUGUUUGGAGUGUUGUGAAUAAUAAGGGUAUCAUACUCAAUUCUAUUUCAUAUAUAUUUUGAGUUUUAUCUUCACUCAGUUCUCUAUUGUAUCAUACUCAG